rnacentral:rRNA from 1 species
UACGUAGGGUGCAAGCGUUAAUCGGAAUUGCUGGGCGUAAAGCGUGCGCAGGCGGCCAUCCAAGUCAGUGGUGAAAGCCCGGAGCUCAACUCCGGAAUUGCCAUUGAAACUGUUUGGCUCGAGUACGAGAGAGGUGAGUGGAAUUCCCAGUGUAGAGGUGAAAUUCGUAGAUAUUGGGAAGAACACCGGUGGCGAAGGCGGCUCACUGGCUCGUAACUGACGCUCAUGCACGACAGCGUGGGGAUCAAACAGG